rnacentral:ribozyme from 14 species
AUGAUGAUGAAAUACCAGAAAACAAAGACCAAAGUGGUGCUAGUGGUGAUUUUUAGUGAUGAUUUCUCACUACUCUUCUUCUUCUUCUUUUCCCUUUUUUUUUGGUGACCUUCAGUCAGCAGCAGGAUGAUACUUCUUUUAGUGUGUGGAAAAUAAGAAUAUGGUGCUCCAUCCC